rnacentral:rRNA from 1 species
CCUACGGGAGGCAGCAGUGGGGAAUAUUGGACAAUGGGGGCAACCCUGAUCCAGCCAUGCCGCGUGUGUGAAGAAGGCCCGCGGGUUGUAAAGCACUUUCAGUGAGGAAGAACGCCUGGUGGUUAAUACCCAUCAGGAAAGACAUCACUCGCAGAAGAAGCACCGGCUAACUCCGUGCCAGCAGCCGCGGUAAUACGGAGGGUGCGAGCGUUAAUCGGAAUUACUGGGCGUAAAGCGCGCGUAGGUGGCUUGAUAAGCCGGUUGUGAAAGCCCCGGGCUCAACCUGGGAACGGCAUCCGGAACUGGCAAGCUAGAGUGCAGGAGAGGAAGGUAGAAUUCCCGGUGUAGCGGUGAAAUGCGUAGAGAUCGGGAGGAAUACCAGUGGCGAAGGCGGCCUUCUGGACUGACACUGACACUGAGGUGCGAAAGCGUGGGUAGCAAACAGGAUUAGAUACCCCAGUAGUC